rnacentral:rRNA from 1 species
GUCUCUCGGUAAUAACUGGGGGAGGUAGACUGGCGUUGUCUACACGUAAUUCCUAGGGAGAAACCCGGACUGGGUAUCUCAAGUCAGAUCUGAAGUUUCUACUAAGUUGGCGCAUAGAUGAUCUCGCCGAUGGUAGUGUGGGUACGCCCACAGNCCCUAAUCGUACGGUGUUGAGCAGAGCCCGAGAUGAAUCGAGACACGAUUCAGGCCUACGGGCGCAGCAGCGCGAAACUUACAAUGCAGGAAANUGUGAUAAGGAACCCCGAGUGCCCGUACACGCGGGCUGUCCCGGUGUUAAAACACAUCGGAGAAAGGGCCGGGCAAGACCGGUGCCAGCCGCCGCGGUAAUACCGGCGGCUCGAGUGGUGACCACUUUUAUUGGGCUUAAAGCGUUCGUAGCUUGGUUUUUAAGUCUCUUGGGAAAUCUCACGGCUUAACUGUGAGGCGUCUAAGAGAUACUGGGAAUCUAGGGACCGGGAGAGGUAAGAGGUACUUCAGGGGUAGAAGUGAAAUUCUGUAAUCCUUGAGGGACCACCGAUGGCGAAGGCAUCUUACCAGAACGGCUUCGACAGUGAGGAACGAAAGCUGGGGGAGCGAACGGGAUUAGAUACCCCGGUAGUCCCAGCCGUAACCUAUGCGCGUUAGGUGUGCCUGUAACUACGAGUUACCGGGGUGCCGAAGUGAAAACGUGAAACGUGCCGCCUGGGAAGUACGGUCGCAAGGCUGAAACUUAAAGGAAUUGGCGGGGGAGCACCACAACGGGUGGAGCCUGCGGUUUAAUUGGACUCAACGCCGGGCAGCUCACCGGAUAGGACAGCGGAAUGAUAGCCGGGCUGAAGACCUUGCUUGACCAGCUGAGAGGAGGUGCAUGGCCGUCGUCAGUUCGUACUGUGAAGCAUCCUGUUUAGUCAGGCAACGAGCGAGACCCAA